GCGCAACCCUUGUCCUUAGUUACCAGCACGUUAUGGUGGGCGACUCUAAGGAGACUGCCGGUGGACAAACCGAGGAAGGUGGGGAUGACGUCAAGUCAUCAUGGCCCUUACGGCCUGGGCUACACACGUGCUACAAUGGUCGGUACAAAGGGUUGCCAAGCCGCGAGGUGGAGCUAAUCCCAUAAAACCGAUCGUAGUCCGGAUCGCAGUCUGCAACUCGACUGCGUGAAGUCGGAAUCGCUAGUAAUCGUGAAUCAGAAUGUCACGGUGAAUACGUUCCCGGGCCUU
rnacentral:rRNA from 1 species